rnacentral:rRNA from 1 species
AUUGAACGCUGGCGGCAGGCCUAACACAUGCAAGUCGAACGAGUGGCGGACGGGUGAGUAAUGUCUGGGAAACUGCCCGAUGGAGGGGGAUAACUACUGGAAACGGUAGCUAAUACCGCAUACCAUCGGAUGUGCCCAGAUGGGAUUAGCUAGUAGGUGGGGUAAAGGCUCACCUAGGCGACGAUCCCUAGCUGGGCUGAGAGGAUGACCAGCCACACGGGAACUGAGACACGGUCUAGACUCCUACGGGAGGCAGCAGUGGGGAAUAUUGCACAAUGGGCGCAAGCCUGAUGCAGCCAUGCCGCGGGUAUGAAGAAGGCCUUCGGGUUGUAAAGUACUUUCAGCGAGGAGGCGUUACUCGCAGAAGAAGCCACGGCUAACUACGUGCCAGCAGCCGCGGUAAUUC